rnacentral:rRNA from 1 species
UAGGGAAUUUUGCGCAAUGGGCGAAAGCCUGACGCAGCAACGCCGCGUGAGUGAUGAAGGCCUUCGGGUCGUAAAGCUCUGUCAGAAGGGAAGAAAUGGAAGGGUGUUAAUACCAUCUUUUCUUGACGGUACCUUCAAAGGAAGCACCGGCUAACUCCGUGCCAGCAGCCGCGGUAAUACGGAGGGUGCAAGCGUUGUUCGGAAUUAUUGGGCGUAAAGCGCGUGUAGGCGGUCUUUUAAGUCUGAUGUGAAAGCCCCGGGCUCAACCUGGGAAGUGCAUUGGAAACUGGGAGACUUGAAUACGGGAGAGGGCAGUGGAAUUCCUAGUGUAGGAGUGAAAUCCGUAGAUAUUAGGAGGAACACCUGUGGCGAAGGCGGCUGCCUGGACCGAUAUUGACGCUGAGACGCGAAAGCGUGGGGAGCAAACA